rnacentral:tRNA from 1 species
UCCCAGGUGGCUCAAUGGUAAAGAAUUCACCUGCAAUGUGGGUGACACAGGUUCGACCCCUGGGUUGGGAA